CUCCCAUCCUAUUCAAGCAUUGUGUUACUGAGGAGCAAUGGAAGUAGUUCCUCUCUGCAAGUUGUCGCUGCUGCUGUCUAUGAUAGUCGCUUUGCUCAUAUGCAUUGAAGGAAACAGUACCCUGGAUGUUUAUCUACUGGGUUGCCAGGAUCCAGGAGUAAGCUUCAGAGCAGGAACACCAGGUCCUACAUGCUCCAAUUUGUGCGUGCCUGCCAUUCCGGCUGGUUAUAGAUUCACGUUUGAUGGACAGUUUGGUUUCCUCUUUAGCCAGCCCAACUGCAUGGGCUCAACUACACGCUUGAAUUCCAGCCAGGAAGUUUGUGCAGUGGGGAGCUCCAGCCCAAUCAAGUCUUUCAAGUUUGUAUGUGCCUAGACAAGCUCAGCAUGGCAUUGGGAUUUUAAAUUUUAACUAUUCUUCACAUAAAUAUUUGUAAGGAAGUACAGUCAGAUUCCCUUCUGCAUGAUUGGUACAGUAAGUCAAUAGUACAAUCCUACUAUUCUUAA